rnacentral:rRNA from 1 species
UGGGGAAUCUUGGACAAUGGGGGCAACCCUGAUCCAGCCAUGCCGCGUGGGUGAAGAAGGCCUUAGGGUUGUAAAGCCCUUUCAGUCGUGACGAUGAUGACGGUAGCGACAGAAGAAGCCCCGGCUAACUCCGUGCCAGCAGCCGCGGUAAUACGGAGGGGGCAAGCGUUGUUCGGAAUCACUGGGCGUAAAGGGCGCGUAGGCGGCUGUUUAAGUCGAGGGUGAAAGCCCGGGGCUCAACCCCGGAACGGCCUUCGAGACUGGGCAGCUCGAGACCGGAAGAGGAGGGUGGAAUACCCAGUGUAGAGGUGAAAUUCGUAGAUAUUGGGUGGAACACCAGUGGCGAAAGCGGCUCUCUGGUCCGGAUCUGACGCUGAGGCGCGAAAGCGUGGGGAGCAAACAGGAUUAGAUACCCCCGUAGUCC